UUUUUUUCUUCUCCUU
rnacentral:sRNA from 1 species